CUGAUCAUACAGAGCAAAUGACAUACACAAACAUGAAGACAACCCUAUGAACUAAGACAAAACCUUUGACAAAUAUUACAAACAAAUUAUAAAAAACCGUGGAUCUCCACUAGUACAUUAAUAACAUUACAAAAACAAGAAGAGUGAAACGGGAAAUACAAUAACUCAAAGAAGAAAAGUAAAGCGAAACAGUAAUUUUCCAUCUUCUGUAAGCUUUAAGGACGCA
rnacentral:lncRNA from 1 species